GCAAGUCGAGCGCAGUCCUUCGGGGCGAGCGGCGGACGGGUUAGUAACGCGUGGGAAUAUACCCUUCACUACGGAAUAGCCUCGGGAAACUGAGAGUAAUACCGUAUACGCCCUUCGGGGGAAAGAUUUAUCGGUGAAGGAUUAGCCCGCGUUAGAUUAGAUAGUUGGUGGGGUAAUGGCCUACCAAGUCUACGAUCUAUAGCUGGUUUUAGAGGAUGAUC
rnacentral:rRNA from 1 species